GACGAACGCUGGCGGCGUGCCUAAUACAUGCAAGUAGAACGCAGAAGGGGGAGCUUGCUUCCUCGGACGAGUUGCGCACGCGUGAGUAACGCGUAGGUAACCUGCCUCGUAGCGGGGGAUAACUCUUGGAAACGAUAGCUAAUAUCGCAUAAUAGUAGUUGUUGCAUGACAUUUGCUUAAAAGGUGCAAUUGCAUCACUACCAGAUGGACCGUCGUGGACUUAGUUGGUUGGUGGGGUAACGGCUCACUAAGGAGACGAUACGUAGUCGCCCUGAGAGGGGGACCGGCCACACUGGAAUUGAGAACCGGCCAAGACUCUUAGGGGAGCAAGAAGAAGGGAAUUUUCGGAAAUGGGCGAAAGCUUGCCGGGGAACCGCGGCGUGGUUGAUGAAGGUCUUGGGUUGGUAAAAUUCUGUUAUUAGGGAAGAAGAAAUGUGUAAGUAAAUAUGCACGUUUUGACGGUACCUAAUCAGAAAGCGACGGCUAACUACGUG
rnacentral:rRNA from 1 species